GCGGGAGUAGCUCAGUGGUAGAGCGUCUCCUUGCCAAGGAGAAGGUCGCGGGUUCAAGUCCCGUCUCCCGCUCCA
rnacentral:tRNA from 6 species